rnacentral:rRNA from 1 species
UACGUAGGGUGCGAGCGUUAAUCGGAAUUACUGGGCGUAAAGGGCGCGUAGGCGGUUCGCUAAGUUGGAUGUGAAAACUCUGGGCUUAACCCAGAGCCUGCAUCCAAAACUGGCAGACUAGAGUUUUGGAUGGGGAAGCGGAAUUCCUGGUGUAGCAGUGAAAUGCGUAGAUAUCAGGAGGAACACCAGUGGCGAAGGCGGCGACCUGGGCCAAUACUGACGCUGAGGUGUGAAAGCGUGGGGAGCAAACAGG